GUCCUACUUAUACAGUUAAACCAAUCACUACAGGUUGCUUUUUGGCAUGCAAAUUAUACACAGAAAGGAUCAAAUAGGCUAAAUCAAUCAUUUUGAGGCUAUCAGUUCCUAACCGUAUAUAAUUUUAAAACAUACACUUAGCAAUUCCAUAUAAUCGACAAAGCUCACUAUCAUAUAACAUGGCUAUUCAACUUGGGAAACUACUUACUUGGCUCGGCUGAUCACGCGCAUUGCACUCUCCUCCUAUAGCUUAACAAUCCUUUUUUGGUUACUUUUGAAAACAUUUUACCACUUCCUUAGUUUGAGUCCCGACACACCCGAGAAUGUGUCCGAAUCCCUCAAACCAAGGCUCUGAUAUCAACUUGUAAUGACCCAAUUCUUACCAAGAUUUUUUUUUCAUUUUUAAUUAAUCAAGCACAUCCCAUAAUCCAUAAGUUUCCAAACCAUUUGUUUUCCAAUUCAUAAUUAUUACAAAUUCAUUGUACUUUUUAAAAACAUCAGAGAGUCCCAAUCACACAAAAAGAGAGGUAGAGUGCACGCCACGUCAUCACGCCUUGCCUUUGCCCUUAGGCUCUGAAGUACCUGAAACAAUCAAUCAACCUGUAAGCAAAAUGCUUAGUGAGUUUCCCAGAGCAUACCACACACACACAAAUCACAUAUCAUAUAUCCUGUUAGCUAUAAAAGCUACACACAUACCACGUAAGCUAUGCAUACAUGAAACCUGUGAGAAUCCCAUGGGCUAACCCACAUGGUCUUUACCUAGGACUGCCAUGGGCUCCCGCACAUGGCCUUACAUCCAAUGCCAUGGGCUACCCCACAUGGUCUUCACCUAGGAAUGCCAUGGGCUACCCCACAUGGUCUUCACCUAGGACUGCCAUGGGCUACCCCACAUGGUCUUACAUCCAAUGCCACGGGCUUCCCCCGGGGUCUUCAUACAAAACAUGCAAUCACAUAACAAAACACAGAAUGUAUAACACAUAUAUCAUAAUCACAUAAUGGGCCAGCCUUGGUGCCUUAGACCCAUAGGUAUGGUGGGAAGACUCACCUACCACGAAUGCUGAACUAACACUUGCGACCAAAUAUACCCCACGGUCUGCUCCACUCAACUGCCUAAAAAGUGUCAUACAAUAUCCAAUCAUUUCCCCAAAGUCCAUCCUGGUCAACUACAGCUAGGAUCAAGUCAACAGUCAAUGUUGACCCUAACUCGCCGAGUACAACCAGUGACUCGCCGAGUUUCCCGGGAUAACAUCUACUCGCCGAGUCAUCGAGGUGACUCGUCGAGUUCAUACAGUCUUGAUUGAUAAUCUAAGGUCAUUCGUCGAGUUUCCUUGCUUGUCACUCGACACGUCUACGAACAUCCAACAAUUGGGGGAAUCUUACUCGACUCGCCGAGUUGUUCCUUCAAAUCGUUGAGUUCUAGGUAAUCUUCAUCCGGCUCACCGAGUUGUUCAUCCAACUCGUCGAGUUCAUAGCAAUAUUCAUCGGGCUUGCCAAGUUGUUCAUCCAACUCGUCGAGUCCAUGCCUGCCUUCAUAUGACUCGUCGAGUCGCCCCCUGAGACUCACCAAGUCCUAUCAUUUCUCAAGCCAUACAGACUCUUUUAAGCCAUGCAAUGCUUCCAAAUUACAGAUCUAGGCUCCUGAGGCAUGCUUUCCACGUAAAGUUGCAAACUUUACGUGCAUGCAAGGCUUUAAGGCCCUAAAAUAGGAAAUCUAAGCUUGGAAUGGAGUCAUACACUUGAGGGGAGGCACAUGCUAGGAUCAAUUGAUAACUUUAUGCAUCUCAAAGCCAAAAGGAGUCCAGAUCUAAAGUUACAACUUCAGAUCUUGGCUUAAACACAAAAGCCCUUUCUUAGAAUCCAUGCACAAGAGGGUUUUGGUGGAAAUGAGCCAAGGAACAGCUUAAUACCAUCAGAAAGUGCUCCACAGAGGUAGAUCUUGAAUCCCCACGAGCCCUUUGCUUCCUCAAGUGCUUCCUUCACCAAAUCCCUCCUUCAAGCUUAAAAUCACCAAGAAACACACGCACACUCGAAUCAGGGUUUUUGGGAUGUAAAGAGUUGUAAAGGGGAGGCUAGGGAGGCUAAUGACCCUUUAAAUAGGGUGCAAGGCCCCGAAAUCUAGGGUUUCAUCUGCCAGCAUCUACUCAUCGAGUCCCAUAAUGGACUCGGCGAGUAGAUCAUUAAACUUCGCGGACAAACCCGCUACUACUCGAUGAGUAGGGAGGCCAACUCGCUGAGUAGGUUCUCAAAAAUCCAAACCAAAAUAUCAUUAUUAAUACCUGAGGAUCAGGGUGUUACAUUAAUUCUCGCCUAAUCACCAAACUGGCGACCCAAUAGCCAAAUCGGCGUACCAGAAACACGAAUCAGAGCACCAAAAACAUGAAUCGAAAUAAUCCAAUUCAUUUUCUUCGUUGUUAAUCCGAGCUUCGAUUCUUAAUUUCAGAUUCUUUAUACUUCAGUUUCAUUGUAAUGAUACUUGAGAUUAAAACCUGUUAUACAUCAGUUUUAGAUUCCAGAUUCUGUACAAAUUGCUAUCAACGAGGGCUUGAAAUCGAAUGAUAACCCGAUUUUGUUGAGAUUUUGUUUAAUGCCCAAUUGAUAUCAUAUAUUCAAUUAAAUAGGUUGUCAAGAACAUAAUUAAGGUUUCCCUUUAAUCAUUCUGCUUUUCUCCUCUAGUUCAUACAUAAUUACUGCAAAAAUUAAGUUGCCAUUGUUAAUGGGUUUGUGGUAAAGGUUUAACAGUCAAUGGGGGAAAUAACAAAUGCAUAAAGGUGUUAGAAAAAAAAGAUAUAAGAAUUGCAUAGAAGGUGUUCGACAAAAUGCUUGAAAGAAUAAUUUGGCCUACAUCAAACCUCUUAAGUGUUAAGCCUAUUUAUCAAGCAUACAUCACCACAUUUUACCUGGUUACCUGGUAUCAAGUCAAAUAAGGACCUUUUAAAACGUUAAAUUCGGACUUAAUUCCCUUAAUUUACAAAAUAAUAAUAAUAAUAAUAAUAAUAAUAAUAAUAAUAAUAAUAAUAAUAAUAAUUGAGUGUCAUUUUAAAACAAACACGAUCAGUUUGAUGGGCUAAUAUGACAUUACCCACCGUCCAAAUGCUUAAUAUCCAAGGAAAGUGUUGAUUAUUUCUGCCUAAGAUUAUGCUUUGUUGUCCAAGUUUGGAUGGAAAAACUCAAAAGAAGUGGAGUACAAUCUGAUGUUGAUUGUGAGAUACAUGGCCGAUCUAGAGAUUUUAAAAGCCUUGUACAACUGAGUAAAAUAUAGGCCCAAAAUUGUUGAAGAUAAAAGGGUUGUAUGCUAAUUUCAUUUAAUUUGUUUAACCCAUAUUAUUUCAUAUUUGAUGUAACGUUCCAACGGUUCAUAUGAUGUUUCAAUAAAGGAGUUGUUGACACCACCAAUAGUUUGACCAUUUAGUUUCUCUGAAAAAUCUUAAGCAUAUGAAAUUACUAAUUAACCUCUAGAAGUUAUACUUUUUCAUUUUGAUUGCAAUAUACAUAAGUUCAAGUGUCAUUCAAAAUACUACACAUAAAGACUUGGUUCUAUUUAAAACCUCUUAAAAUAUUAAAAUUACAACUGUAAUAAUAAAAUAAAAAACUUGUUUCUAAGACAUUCAGAUACUACAAAUCUUUUGAUUCUAAGACCUUUAAAAAACCUGUAAAAAUUCAGAUGGAAUACUAUAUCAAAAAGAUAAUGACUUAUAUUAUCAUAUACGAAUCAAAAAAAAAGAAAAAAUAAAAAUUUCUGUACCUUACGGUUUUUCGUAAACUCAAGACGAAUUGGAGCUUUUGGAAUAUGUUUUGCUUCUGAUUUUCAAAAACUUAGAAUGUUAGAUCUAAUAGGAAAUUACGGCUUCUAAUUUAGUGAAAUGCAUCUGAUUCAAGUGAAGAAAGAAGUAAGACAAAAGAAACUCAAAGCUUCUGAUUUUCGGAAUCGAAACCACAAGAAAGUCAGAGUAUAUUUACAGUUCAAUGUCUUUGAUAUAAGUGAUAAUACCUCUGAUUUUGGAGAAGAAAGAAGUAAGAACAAAAACAUCAUAACCCAAAUAUGAUUUUAAACAAAAAAAUAGAAUCGUUACUUACUUCUGUCGAUGAUUGUAGACCCUUCGAUAGUAGGCACGCGUUCAAGAAUCGAAGCGUGUUUUCCCCUCGAUUUUUUGAUUUCCUGCUUGUGUGCGUCGGCCUCUUCUUCUAGUUCCAGCAAUAUGUAAGCAGUAAAGUUAGCAUAACACUAACAAAGGGAAAAAAUUGGGCCCUUAUGUCUUGGUGGGCCCUGUUCUUAAGCACCGGUUGAACUCCAAUAGGGCCGGCCCUGGUGAGAUACACUGGCAUCGUUGGGUGUCGUACUUUUGUUGUUUCGCUAGUGAUUUUGAACUGGUCCAACAUUUUCUCUUAUUUGUGUCAUAUUGCGGUGUUACACUCUAUAUGCUUAUAAUUCUUUAUUUCUGUAUUUCCUUAUUGGAGUUUGACUAUUUGACUCUUCUUGGUUAGACUAUAACCAACAAUUGAAGUCCAUCUUUAUUGUGAACUCAAAUCUACUACUUUCCAAAAUGCAAACAUUGCAUAGACGGCUUCUUUUUAUAGCUACAAAAGUUUUCUGCAUAGAUGCAUGCAACUAUAACCAUGUACCUCUGUUUUCUUAAUCCUCGUUUCAGAACUUCUUUUUAUUUUACUAUGGGCAUAAUUAUAUAUGCUUUAAUUUUGUGGUCCUUGCACUUUAUUAAUUAUACAACCGCUAAUAACCUCCUUGCAAGAUUCUCUUCUUUUUAAUUCCUUGUGUAGAAAGCAAAGGAGGCAAAGAGUAUUUAAG
rnacentral:lncRNA from 1 species